UACAGAGGUCUCGAGCGUUAGGCGGAAUCACUGGGCUUAAAGCGUGUGUAGGCGGAUCGUUAAGUGCCUUGUGAAAUCCCACGGCUUAACCGUGGAACUGCUUGGCAUACUGGCGAUCUUGAGCAACCUAGGGGCUACCGGAACAAACGGUGGAGCGGUGAAAUGCGUAGAUAUCGUUUGGAACGCCAAUGGUGAAAACAGGUAGCUGGGAGUGUGCCGACGCUGAGACACGAAAGCCAGGGGAGCGAACGGG
rnacentral:rRNA from 1 species